rnacentral:rRNA from 1 species
AUUGAACGCUGGCGGCAGGCCUAACACAUGCAAGUCGAGCGGAUGAAGGGAGCUUGCUCCUGGAUUCAGCGGCGGACGGGUGAGUAAUGCCUAGGAAUCUGCCUGGUAGUGGGGGAUAACGUCCGGAAACGGGCGCUAAUACCGCAUACGUCCUGAGGGAGAAAGUGGGGGAUCUUCGGACCUCACGCUAUCAGAUGAGCCUAGGUCGGAUUAGCUAGUUGGUGGGGUAAAGGCCUACCAAGGCGACGAUCCGUAACUGGUCUGAGAGGAUGAUCAGUCACACUGGAACUGAGACACGGUCCAGACUACUAAGGGAGGCAGCAGUGGGGAAUAUUGGACAAUGGGCGAAAGCCUGAUCCAGCCAUGCCGCGUGUGUGAAGAAGGUCUUCGGAUUGUAAAGCACUUUAAGUUGGGAGGAAGGGCAGUAAGUUAAUACCUUGCUGUUUUGACGUUACCAACAGAAUAAGCACCGGCUAACUUCGUG